rnacentral:rRNA from 1 species
GACGAACGCUGGCGGCAGGCCUAACACAUGCAAGUCGAGCGGACCUUUCGGGGUCAGCGGCGGACGGGUGAGUAACGCGUGGGAAUAUGCCCUUCUCUACGGAAUAGUCCUGGGAAACUGGGGGUAAUACCGUAUACGCCCUUUGGGGGAAAGAUUUAUCGGGGAAGGAUUAGCCCGCGUUGGAUUAGGUAGUUGGUGGGGUAAUGGCCUACCAAGCCGACGAUCCAUAGCUGGUUUGAGAGGAUGAUCAGCCACACUGGGACUGAGACACGGCCCAGACCCCGCCGGGAGGAAGCGGGGGGGAGGAGUGGAAAAGGGGGGAAAGCCGGAGCGAGAAAUGAGGGGGGAGAAGAGAAGGCAUUAAGGUGGGAAAGCCCCUGUACCCGGGAGGAUAAGGACGGUGCAGGGAGGAGAAGGUAAGGCUAACUCCGGG